rnacentral:lncRNA from 1 species
UCUGCUUCCUUUAAGAAGGCUGGGGAAAAAGAUGGAAAAUACAAUCCAGGAAAGAGACCUGGAAGGAGGGCAAAAGAUACAGGGGACUGAAAAUUUGUCUCUUCAUACCGGAAGGACUUCGAUGUGUAGGGACCACCCUAGGUGACAUCCAAGUCCCUGUGAUCACAGGUCCUGGUGGGACAAGGUUCUACUGAAGGGCCAAGGACAGUGGAGCAGCAAAGAUGACCCAGGGAAGUAAGAAGUUACAGCUCAGUGCACCAUGAAGUUGAGACAGAGAUGGAGACAUCCCAGCACCACUUCUCUGGAACAGGAAAGGUGAUCGGGGAAGGAAUGUAGCCCGGGAGAUCUACAGGAGAUCGAGCAGGCUCCCCAUGGCCCCUGGUACCCGCGCGCUGCAGCGUCUCCUUCCCGUUCUCCAGGUGUCUGCGGAGCCACUCCAUGCAGGUGCCCUCCAGGCAUACUGCUCAUACCCGCGGAGGAGACGCCCGUCGGGCCCCAGGUCGCAGCCAAACAUUCCCUGGAGGAUGUGAUACCCUGGCCCAGUUCCC